rnacentral:rRNA from 1 species
GAUGAACGCUGGCGGCGUGCCUAAUACAUGCAAGUCGAGCGAACGGACGAGAAGCUUGCUUUUCUGAUGUUAGCGGCGGACGGGUGAGUAACACGUGGAUAACCUACCUAUAAGACUGGGAUAACUUCGGGAAACCGGGGCUAAUACCGGAUAAUAUUUUGAACCGCAUGGUUCAUAAGUGAAAGACGGUCUUGCUGUCACUUAUAGAUGGAUCCGCGCUGCAUUAGCUAGUUGGUAAGGUAACGGCUUACCAAGGCAACGAUGCAUAGCCGACCUGAGAGGGUGAUCGGCCACACUGGAACUGAGACACGGUCCAGACUCCUACGGGAGGCAGCAGUAGGGAAUCUUCCGCAAUGGGCGAAAGCCUGACGGAGCAACGCCGCGUGAGUGAUGAAGGUCUUCGGAUCGUAAAACUCUGUUAUUAGGGAAGAACAUAUGUGUAAGUAACUGUGCACAUCUUGACGGUACCUAAUCAGAAAGCCACGGCUAACUGCGUG